GGGUGGAAAGCCACUCUGUCAGCAGCAAGAUCAAUGGGACAUUGAAGGUACUUCCUGGAGGGCAGGCAACUACUGAUAAUACUGUUUCUCAGUUAUCUUCAACAUCCACAACAUCGUUUUCCCCAAGCAGGUAUCAAAUGGAAGGAGAAUAUGAUCCACAGUUAAAUUUAUCUGGAAAUGGGCAAAUGCAAAUGGCUGAAGUAAAUAACCCUAGUGGUCUUUGGAAGCAGGAUUUAGCUUUAAAGAUUCGGGAGCAUGAAGAAGAGAUUUUGCAGUUAAGGAAACAUCUUUC
rnacentral:misc_RNA from 1 species